rnacentral:sRNA from 1 species
UCGUGUUUCAGGUAACCCGCUCCCUUCUUCGAGGUUGCCAGAGUGAACAGUGGCACUCCUCCUCACAGUCGCUGUUCGAUUAUUUUCGAAAAGCCUGCCGCUCCUCCUCCCGCGGCGGGCUUUUUCG